AUGCCCGGUGAUUAUAAAAAGACGCGUUAUUCUGAGGAACAAAACCUGCUAUUAGUGCUUCUCUCCUCUCUCCUCUUCCAUUUCUUCUCCUUUACCCCUCCUCUUCCUUCCUAACUAGUAGCAGGUCCAAUGAUUGCGAUUAUGAGAUAUGAGGGCGU
ensembl:snoRNA SNORD97 small nucleolar RNA, C/D box 97